rnacentral:sRNA from 1 species
AAUGUACUUCCUUUUUCCGGUCUCGUUUGUAUCAUCAGGUAACGUUUUUUUUAUAUUUCAAGGAAUUAUUAAAAAUGAAAUUGGUAUUGCGUUCCUUCCUAUUUUAUACUAGACUGAUAAAUAUAUAUUUUACUCAAAGUUUCAUACAAACGAGACCGGAAAAAGGAAGUACAUU